GUCGAGAGGGCGGAGAAUACAAUACCCAUUGGGGAAUAAUCCCGACCGACUUCUGACGGUUUUCGAACCUCUCGGCACCCUAAU
rnacentral:ncRNA from 1 species